UACAGAGGUGGCAAGCGUUGUUCGGAAUUACUGGGCGUAAAGGGCGCGUAGGCGGCUCUUUAAGUCCCGUGUGAAAGCCCCCGGCUCAACCGGGGAACUGCACGGGAAACUGGAAGGCUUGAGUUCGGGAGAGGGAAGCGGAAUUCCGGGUGUAGCGGUGAAAUGCGUAGAUAUCUGGAGGAACACCGGUGGCGAAGGCGGCAUCCUGGACCAAUUCUGACGCUGAGUGAGCGAAAGCCAGGGGAGCAAACGGG
rnacentral:rRNA from 1 species